rfam:Camelus ferus unplaced genomic scaffold scaffold57, whole genome shotgun sequence.
GAGGGUAUAGCUCAGUGGUAGAGCAUGUGCUUAGCAUGCACAAGGUUCUGGGUUCAAUCGCCAGUACCUUCA